AGGCUCUCCACCUGUGUGCAUGUCGACUACUGAAAGCUCGGCCCCCUCGUGAGGUGGAAGCUGCAUUUCCAUCUUGGUGCUAAAUUAAAACAAAACAGAGGCCAUUGGGUCAAUGUGCUGUUUGAUUUCAACAAUAAGAUCGUGCCACCACAAGGAGGAAUGGAAAUCUCAGAGGCAGUAACAUCCAACAACAGCGGCAAAUUCCUCCAAAGGUAUUCAAACAUUCAGUCAGCACUACAGGCUAUUAACGGUUUACUCUACAUACUAUACUGUAUAAUAUUGUUAUGAAACCAAUGAUCAGAAAAAUAACUUUAAACCAUAUUUGGUUUAACUUCAACAGAGGUGAAUGGCGAAAGGCAGCGAAAAGUCGUAGGACAAAGUGUAACGCGACCGUAUUCUCUGGUAAAAUGCUGCAAGAGACCAGCUUUAUUUUCUAUUCAACUCCAGAAAGAGUCAUUUUUACCUGGUUUAGAUUUUCUCCGUACUUUGGACUCAAACUUGUGCCAGCUUCAGUCUUUCCCUGUGAGUGCGUGUCUCAGUUUGCAAAGACUCUAAAA